AGGUUAGAGUUACUUGUUAUUGGUAAAUAGCCACUAUGGAGACUAAGGACCAGAAGAAACACAGAAAGAAAAACGGUGGACCCAAAGCUGCAAAGAAAAAGAAGUGGCAUCUGCAGGAUCUCCAGCUAGGAGACUAAGAAAAUGCCCAGAAGAGAAAUGCCAAUGCUUUUGCAGUUCAGUCUGCUGUGUGGAUGUCUCGAUCCUUUCACAGGACUCUGGAUUUGAAGACACAAAAGCAUCAUAUUCCAGUGGUUGAUGGAACUCCACUAGAGCCGCCACCAAUACCGGUAGUGGUGACGGGGCCUCCAAAGUUGGAAAGAGCACUUUGAUAUAAUGCCUCAUUCGGAACUUCACCUGGCAGAAGUUCACCGAGAUCAGAGGCCCUGUGACGAUCGUGUCAGGUAAAAAGCGCAGACUCACCAUUAUUGAAUGUGGGUGUGACAUUAACAUGAUGAUUGAUCUGGCUAAAGUAGCAGAUCUGGUACUGAUGCUUAUAGAUGCCAGCUUUGGGUUUGAAAUGGAAAUGUUUGAGUUUCUAAACAUCUGUCAAGCACAUGGCUUUCCUAAAAUUCUGGGAGUUCUCACCCACCUCGACUCCUUCAAGCAUAACAAGCAACUGAAGAAGACAAAGAAGCGAUUAAAACACAGGUUCUGGACAGAAGUUUACCAGGUUGCCAAACUGUUCUACCUUUCUGGAAUGGUGCAUGGAGAAUAUCAAAACCAAGAAAUCCACAAUCUGGGCCAUUUUAUUACAGUUAUGAAGUUUAGGCCUCUCAUGGCAAACUUUUCACCCUUAUAUCCUGGCAGACAGGAUGGAAGAUUUGACAAACCCGGAGGAUAUCCAAACAAACAUCAAAUGUGACCGGCAGGUGUCACUUUAUGGUUAUUUAAGAGGAGCACACUUCAAAGAUAAAAGCCAAAUUCACAUGCCAGGACAAGGUGGGGCUCACCCAUGAGCUGGUCCAGAGUCUCAUCUCCACCUACUCCACCAUUGAUGCCAAGAUGGCUUCAAGUCGAGUGACGCUGCUUUCCAAUUCCAAACCACUUGGGUCAGAGGCUAUAGAUAAUCAAGGAGAUGGCUUUGGAUUCCCUGUUCUGUGUGCUCCUGUCUGGCUCCUGAACCCAGCUGGAGAGGUGUGUCAAUCCCAACUGGUGAAGUACUGAGAGGAAGCUACACAAAAGGCAGCAAGGUGUUAAUAAGUGUACCUCUGACAUUUUAACCACCUCUGACUUUUCCAUGGAAUGGACAAGUAGUAGUCUCUGUCAGAGCAAUGUUUUAAAGGAAAAAAAGAAACUUGAGGUCGUAAACUGUUUAUUAAUUUAUGCUGUUAUUUUGUGUUUACUCAACUCAUUUAUAUUGACUUGUAAAUUAGUAAUUUAUGAACUACUAUUCAUCAAUUCAUUGCCUACAUGUCAGCAAACAAGUUUUCUUCUUAAUAAAGAAUCCGGUGGCUGGGCACAAUGGUUCACACCUGUAAUCUCAGCAUGUUGGGAGGGCAAGGCAGGAGGAUUCCUUGAGGCCAAGAGUUCAAGACCCGCCUGGGCAACAUAGCAAGAUUUCAUCUCUACAAAAAAAUGAAAAUAUUGGCUGGGCAUGGUGGCUCAUUCCUAUAGUUCAGGCUACUCAGGAGCCUGAGGUAGGAGGAUCACUUGAACCCAGGAGUUUGAGGCUGCAGUGAGCUAUGAUCCUAACACUGCUCUCCAGCCUGGGUGACACACCAAGAGACCACCUCUUCAAAAAAGGAAUCUAGGGGCAUCAGUGUGUGCACACAGCAUGGCUUGUGAAUGCGGAAGUGCCUGUGUGCAUAGUUGUGCUCAAGAAUGUGUUGAUGAUUAUAUCUUCUCAGCAUGAAAAAAA
rnacentral:lncRNA from 1 species